ensembl:lncRNA
CUAGGCCAGUGACACACAAUCUCAAAUGAAUCAAUCUCAAAUGAAUCAAUCUCAAAUGAAUCAAUCUUAUACUCAGUCUGUUACAACAACAACAUUUGGAAAAGUCAAGGGGUGUGAAUACUUUCUGAAGGCACUGGACAUAAAAACACAUGCACAAGGUUUUGCAAGAGUAGUGAAGCAUACACAACUCACCACAGGUUAAGGAGAAGGGUGUGCUUGAAAGGAUGCACAUAACUCUGUAAUGUUGGGUUGUAUUGGAGAGAGUCUCACUUUUAAGGAAGACAUCCUAUUUGUAAAGUCCUGGACAGCUUUGUGACAUCAAAUGGACUUUGGUGGUCAAGAUGUGUUGGUAUCUGCACUGAUGGUGCAAAAGCCAUGUCAAGGAGACAUAGUGGAGUGGUAACGCGCGUGCAAGCAGAUGAUCCCGAUGCCACUUGGGGACACUGCAGCAUCUACCGAGAGGCUCUUGCUGCCAAGGGAAUGCCUGACAGCUUGAAAGACAUUUUGGACACUACAGUAAAAAUGGUUAACUUUGUUAAAGCAAGGCCCCUGAACUCUCAUGUAUUUUCUGCAUUAUGCAAUGAUAUGGGCAGUGACCAUGUAACGCUUUUACAACAUGCAGAAGUAUGCUGGUUAUCAAGGGGCAAAGUAUUGACACUUUUUUAUUGAAAGACGAGCUUGAAGUUUUCUUUACUGACCAUUAUUUUCACUUGUUUGACCGCUUCGCUUGCAUGAUGACGAGUUUAUCACAUGACUGGCCUGUCUGGGGGAUGUUUUUCCUAGCCUGAAUGAUCUGAAUCUAGGCUUACAGGGACUCUCCGCAACUAUAUUCAAUGUGCGGGACAAAAUUGAGGCUAUGAUUAAGAAGUUGGAGCUCUUCUCUGUCUGCAGUAAAUUUGCAAAUAAAUUCAUUAAAAAUCCUACAAUGUGAUUUUCUGGAAUUAUUUUUCUCAUUUUGUCUGUCAUAGUUGAAGUGUACCUACGAUGAAAAUUACAGGCCUCUCUCAUCUUUUUAAGUGGGAGAACUUUCACAAUUGGUGGCUGACUAAAUACUUUUUUGCCCCACUGUAUGCUUGGGGUCAUUGUCCAUUUGGAAGACCCAGUUGCGACCAAGCUUUAACUUCCUGACUGAUGUCUUGAGAUGUUGCUUCAAUAUAUCCACAUAAUUUUCCAUCCUCAUGAAGCCAUCUAUUUUGUGAAGUACACCAGUCCCUCCUGCAGCAAAGCACACCCACAACAUGAUGCUGCCACCCCCGUGCUUCACGGUUGGGACAGUGUUCUUCGACUUGCAAGCAUCCCUCUUUUUCCUCCAAACAUGAAUAUGGUCAUUAUGGUCAAACAGUUCUAUUUUUGUUUCGUCAGACCAGAGGAGAUUUCUCCAAAAAGUACGAUCUGUGUCCCCAUGUGCAGUUGCAAACCAUAGUCUGGCUUUUUAAUGGCGGUUUUGGAACAGUGGCUUCUUCCUUGCUGAGCGGUCUUUCAGGUUAUGUCAAUAUAGGACUCGUUUUACUAUGGAUAUAGAUACUUUGUACCUGUUUCCUCCAGCAUCUUCUCAAGGUCCUUUGCUGUUGUUCUGGGAUUGAUUUGCACUUUUCGCUCAGGUCCUGAGCUACAGGCAGUUAGAUUUGGGUAUAUCAUUUUAGGCUAACAUUUUUAAAAAGGGUUCCUUCCUUAAAUUAUUCAAGAAUCAAUGGGUAUAUAUCAUUUUUUGACUUUAUUUUAUAAGUCAAAAAAUGUAUGCUGCAGUUCCUCCACAACCCAUACCUCAUUCACCAAGUUCUCUCUUUUCUGUUGUCGUCCGACUGUGUGUGUGUUGGUGGGUUUGAGGAUGUGGGUGUUCUUAUCUCCUCUCCUCUCUGUUUAGGGACUAUUGAGCAACUCUCUCCCCAGAUGAUUGUAUAUCAAAACUCCCACCGUGUGUUGUGUACAAACACUUACAAGUAGACUUGUUAGGGAAUACUCACAUACACACACACUUUCUUUCUGCUGAGCUAUGGGGUUUUACACCUUGAGGAGUUCACACAGCAGCAGACCACAGCAGGUGGUUAUAAAGGCACUCUUGCCUCCAAAGCGUGUGAGAGUAUUCCCUAACAAGUCUAUAUGUAAGUGUUUGUACGUAACACACAGUGGGAGUUUUGAUAUACAAUUAUCUGCAUCCCACAGGGGGGGGGGGUUGCUCAAUAGUCCCUAAACAGAGAGGAGAUAAGUACACCCACAGAUUUAUUUGGCUAUUGAGAGUAGCAUGUUGGAAAGUUUGCGAUGACUGCCCUCUAGUGGUAAAAUCAAGAAUGUACACCGCAAUAUAAUCCAGAAAAUACAGGACAUACAACUAUAUCUGAUGUCAUCUAAACAUUUAUUCUCUUAAUACAGUCUAAAGAAAUCAUUAGGAAAUCAAAUGACAUAUGCACAGAGUGAUACAGACAUUUGUGGCCCUAUGGCCGUUCCCACAAUCAGAGGAGGGACAAGUAUGUAGUAGUCAUGCGUCUCACACAGAAUGUAUUUUCUCCAUUUCAGAUCAGAACAGAAAAGUAAAAGGUUAUUAACUUCAGUUAGACUGUAGACAGAGACUGAGGAAAUGAAAGGAGACUGAUACCCACAGCCACAGGCACCCAUACAGUACUGUUCAUCCCAAUGGCAUACCUCCGGUUCUUUAAUCAUCUCAAAAAAUAUAUAUCUGUGACAAAUUUCUAUCCAUCUGAAUGACAUGACUUCAACGAGUGAUUAGAUUCUACAGUAGAACAUCUCAGACCUCAAUCAAAUUCAUGAUUCGAUGAACAACCAUGAUCAGCUUUUGUAAAUACACUAAACAAAAAUAGAAAUGCAGCACGCAACAAUUUCUAUGAUUUUACAGAGUUACAGUUCAUAUAAGGAAAUCAGUCAAUUGAAAUAAAGUAUUUAGGCCCUAAUCUAUUUAUUUUACAUGACCGAGAAUACAGAUACCUAAAAAAGUAGCGGAGUGGAUCAGAAAACCAGUGUGACCAUUAUUUGCCUCGUGCAGCGUGACACAUCUCCUUUGCAUAGAGUUGAUCAGGCUGUUGAUUGUGGCCUGUGAAAUGUUGUCCCACUCCUCUUCAAUGGCUGUGCAAAGUUGCUGGAUAUUGGCGAGAACUGGAACACACUGUGGUGCACGUCAAUCCAGAGCAUCCCAAACAUGGUCAACGGGUGACAUGUCUGGUGAGUAUGCAGGUCAUGUAAGAACUGGGACAUUUCCAACUUCCAGGAAUUGUGUACAGAUCGUUGCGUCAUGGAGCUGUUCAUUAUCAUGCUGAAACAUGAGGUGAUGGCAGCGGAUGAAUGGCACGACAAUGGGCCUCAGGAUCUCGUCACGGUAUCUCUGUGCAUUCAAAUUGCCAUAGAUAAAAUGCACUUGUUUCCGUUGUCCGUAGCUUAUGCCUGCCCAUACUAUAACACCGCCGCCACCUGCCCAUACCAUAAUCCCACCGCCAUACCAUAACCCUCCAACAUUGACAUCAGCAAACCACACGCCAAAUUCUCUAAAACAAUGUUGGAGGCGGCUUAUGGUUGAGAAAUUAAACAUCGAAUUCUCUGGAAACAGCUCUGGUGGUCAUUCCUGCAGUCCGCAUGCCAAUUGCACGCUCCCUCAAAACUUGAGACAUCACAUUGCGUUGUGUGACAACACUGCACAUUUUAGUGUGGCCUUUUAUUGUCCCUAGCACAAGGUGCACCUGUGUAAUGACCAUGCUGUUUAAUCAUCUUCUUGAUAUGCCACACCUGCCAGGUGGAUGGAUUAUCUUGCCAAAAGAGAAAUGCUCACUAACAGGGAUGUAAAACAAAUUUCUGCACCAAAUUAGAGAGAUAUGAUUUUUUUAUGUGAAUGGAACAUUUCCGGGAUCUUUCAUUUCAACUCAUGAAACAUGGGACCAACACUUUACAUUUUGCAUUUAUAUUUUUGUUCAGUGUAUAACGACAAAGGACUGAAAUAUCAAAGUCUUUGGUAUGGACCUCUUUUUAUCCUAUUUGGCUUGAUAAAGGAUCCUGUAAAAUGGCUUAGCUUUAUUACCAUGAAUGCACUUGAUAUCAGACAGGUUGUCAGAUCCAUUAGGCCAACCUUUGACCUUUUUGACACUUGUCACAUACAGAAUAAUCUUGGAAACCCAGAAUUACAAUCUUGCAUAAUUGAGUUAGAUACUCAAUUCUUUUCUGGGGGAAGAUGUGUUUGAAAAGAGACUCGAGCAAGCAGCGGAGGCAGGGCAGUAGCUCCACCCGCCUUUGCAAGUUACAGGCAAGUCUAUGGGCCAAAUGUCCCUUCCCCUUCCGAAAUUCGAAAGAUGCGAAAUCGUGAUUUGUCCAAAAUUAUCAGUGAUGAAAAAUCACUGAUCAAGUUCCUUGAUAGUCGUCGCAUCCCACAGUCUGUUGACAGACACUACAAUACCAGCUAUAUUACGUGCAUCUGUCCAUGAGAGAUUACACACAGAACAGUGGGGAUUUAGAGAUAAUUGAUUAGAGAUAAUUUUGAUAGAGGUGACAGUUAGAGGUGAUUCGACAAUCACAGUGAGUAUUGUGUAGGCUAUAAGGAACUGUCCAUCGAAGCACAAUGUCAAACUGGGCCACACAACUUCCCACAUUUAGGCUGAUGCUCUACUGUAGCCUUCCAUUUCAAAUUACUUUGGGCAGCGAGCGGUUAUGAACGUUUGUGUCACAAGCAGGCAGUGUUUGACGAUGUCAUUAGCUCUGGCCACUAUAAUCUCUCUGCAGGUAAGCAUUCUUUGAUUGGCAGCCACAGUGGCCCAUCAUCUUGUUCUCUCACUGAUUGACAGUCACAGCGGCCCAUCUUGUUCUCUCUCUGAUUGGCAGGCACAGUGGCCUAUCAUCUGCUCCUCUCUCAGGAGAAGAUUGGGGAGGGGCGGGGCUUACAUGUCUGUCUGGAACAGGAACUUCCUCUAGUAACGCCACAGGAGCCAGACCUCGUCUGCCAUUCACCUGAAACACAUAGUCACUCAGUAAGCUAUCUACAGUACAGCUGCACUCAUCUGUUUAGAUAGCAGUCUGCCAGAUAGUAGUCUGUAAGAUAGUCGUCUGUUAGGAUAGCAGUCUGUUAGGAUAGCAGUCUGUUAGGAUAGCAGUCUGUUAGGAUAGCAGUCUGUUAGGAUAGCAGUCUGUUAGGAUAGCAGUCUGUUAGGAUAGCAGUCUGUUAGGAUAGCAGGCUGUUAGGAUAGCAGUCUGUUAGGAUAGCAGUCUGUUAGGAUAGCAGUCUGUUAGGAUAGCAGUCUGUUAGGAUAGCAGUCUGUUAGGAUAGCAGGCUGUUAGUAUAGCAGGCUGUUAGGAUAGCAGGCUGUUAGGAUAGCAGGCUGUUAGGAUAGCAGGCUGUUAGGAUAGCAGGCUGUUAGGAUAGCAGGCUGAUAGGAUAGCAGUCGGUUUGGAUAGCAGUCGGUUUGGAUAGCAGUCUGGUUAGAUAGCAGUCUGGUUAGAUAGCAGGCUGUUAGGAUAGCAGGCUGUUAGGAUAGCAGUCGGUUUGGAUAGCAGUCGGUUUGGAUAGCAGUCGGUUUGGAUAGCAGUCUGGUUAGAUAGCAGUCUGGUUAGAUAGCAGUCGGUUUGGAUAGCAGUCGGGUUAGAUAGCAGUCGGGUUAGAUAGCAGUCGGUUAGAUAGCAGUCGGUUAGAUAGCAGUCUGUUAGAUAGCAGUCUGUUAGAUAGCAGUCGGUUAGAUAGCAGUCGGUUAGAUAGCAGUCGGUUAGAUAGCAGUCUGUUAGAUAGCAGUCUGUUUAGAAAGUCUGUUAGAUAGCAGUCUGUUAGAUAGCAGUCGGGUUAGAUAGCAGUCGGGUUAGAUAGCAGUCGGGUUAGAUAGCAGUCGGUUAGAUAGCAGUCGGUUAGAUAGCAGUCGGUUAGAUAGCAAUCUGUUAGAUAGCAGUCUGUUUAGAAAGUCUGUUAGAUAGCAGUCGGUUAGAUAGCAGUCUGUUUAGAAAGUCUGUUAGAUAGCAGUCUGUUUAGAAAGUCUGUUAGAUAGAAGUCUGUUAGAUAGCACUGUUAGAUAGCAGUCUGUUAGAUAGCAGUCUGUUAGAUAGCAGUCUGUUUAGAAAGUCUGUUAGAUAGCAGUCUGUUAGAUAGCA